UACGGGGGGGGCAAGCGUUGUUCGGAAUUACUGGGCGUAAAGGGUGCGUAGGUGGCUUGGUAAGUUUGAUGUGAAAUCUCCGGGCUUAACCCGGAAAUGGCAUUGAAUACUAUUGAGCUGGAGGUUUGGAGGGGGGACUGGAAUUCUCGGUGUAGCAGUGAAAUGCGUAGAUAUCGAGAGGAACACCAGUGGCGAAGGCGAGUCCCUGGACAACACCUGACACUGAGGCACGAAAGCUAGGGGAGCAAACAGG
rnacentral:rRNA from 1 species